UUAUCGAGUUAUUUACAGGAAAAACAGAGUGCAUGGAGAGAUGAGAGAGAGAAAAAAAUGAUAUUAGGACUUCUUUCUUGUUAUAAAUAUGCAAAAUAAAUAAUCUGGUGUAAAGCAGAGAGAGUAAGCCCUGAGCCAGUACUGGGGAACUUCCUGGAGAAGCUGUGCUUGGGUCAGACCUUCUAGGAGCAGGACUUAUGGUCUGAAACAUCUGGACUUUUAAAGAAGGGACCAAGCGUCAAGAAUAUCUGAUGAAUAUUUGGCAGACAGCCAGAAAUUGACAAGCAUGCAGGUCUGCUGGGAAGGCAUCAUGCCAACCUUCCACCAUCAAUGAGCAAGUUCAGCAGAUUAAGAAGUAGGAGAAACUGACUAUUGAGCUCAAGAAGAAAACCUAAAAGCAGAAGCUGUGUUUGAAUAACAGACGAGAUAUGGCAAGCAGUGUGUGAGCUCUCAUCCUGGAUUUUAAUAGAGAGAGAUGC